rnacentral:rRNA from 1 species
GACGCACGCUCGCGGCGUGCCUAAUACAUGCAAGUCGAGCGAAGCGGCGGCUGGGUGAGUAACGCGUGGGUAACCUGCCCUACAGUCUGGGAUCCCCUUUGGACACAGAUGCUAAUACCGGAUACUACAGGAUGGAACUGAGAUGUAUUAGCUAGUUGGUAAGGUAACGGGUUAGCAAGGCGAUGAUGCAGAACCGAGUGUAGAGCAGAAUCGGCCACAUUGGGACUGAGACACGGCCCAAACUCCUACGGUAGACAACGGAAGGGAAACGUCGACAAUGGACGAAAGUCUGAUGGAGCAACGCCACGUGAGUGGAGAGGGUUUUCGGAUCGGAAAGCUCUGUUGGUGGUGAAGCGGUACACAACCAGAAAGCCGCGGCUAACUACGUGCAAGCGGCGGCGGUAAUAG